rnacentral:rRNA from 1 species
CGGUGUUCAACUGGCGUGCCCGCGGGACGUCCUGCCGGUGAGCUCAGCCCGCGAGGGCGGCUCAACUUGAAAUCCCAUCGCGGUGCUCUUCAUUGAGUGUCGAGGUGGGCCGGCACGAUUACUUUUGAACAAAUUAGAGUGCUUAAAGCAGGCUAAAAUUUUGCCUGAAUACUGUGUAUAUGGAAUAAUGGAAUAGGACCUCGGUUCUAUUUUGUUGGUUUUCGGAACCCCGAGGUAAUGAUUAAUAGGAACGGAUGGGGGCAUUCGUAUUGCGACGUUAGAGGUGAAAUUCUUGGAUCGUCGCAAGACGGACUAAAGCGAAAGCAUUUGCCAAAAACGCUUUCAUUGAUCAAGAGCGAAAGUUAGAGGUUCGAAGGCGAUCAGAUACCGCCCUAGUUCUAACCAUAAACUAUGCCAGCUAGCGAUCCGCCGACGUCCCUCUGAUGACUCGGCGGGCAGCUUCCGGGAAACCAAAGCUUUUGGGUUCCGGGGGAAGUAUGGUUGCAAAGCUGAAACUUAAAGGAAUUGACGGAAGGGCACCACCAGGAGUGGAGCCUGCGGCUUAAUUUGACUCAACACGGGAAACCUCACCAGGCCCAGACACUGGAAGGAUUGACAGAUUGAGAGCUCUUUCUUGAUUCAGUGGGUGGUGGUGCAUGGCCGUUCUUAGUCGGUGGAGCGAUUUGUCAGGUUAAUUCCGAUAACGGACGAGACUCUGACCUGAUAACUAGACGCACUUGCGGCAUCUCAAAGGUCCGCCGGCGGCUGGCUUUGCGCCCGUCGUCGCGCGCGAUUUUUACUGCCGGCGUACAAUAAAUUCUUCUUAGAGGGACAAGUGG